GUAAGGAAUAUUGGGCAAUGGAGGCAACUCUGACCCAGCCAUGCCGCGUGAAGGAUUGACGGCCCUCUGGGUUGUAAACUUCUUUUGUACGGGAAUAACCCUCCGAACGUGUUCGGAGCUGAAGGUACCGUAAGAAUAAGGAUCGGCUAACUCCGUGCCAGCAGCCGCGGUAAUACGGAGGAUCCAAGCGUUAUCCGGAUUUACUGGGUUUAAAGGGUGCGUAGGCGGAUUGAUAAGUCAGUGGUGAAAUCCUGCAGCUUAACUGCAGAACUGCCAUUGAUACUGCCAGUCUGGAGUAUGGUUGAGGUAGCUGGAAUGUGUCAUGUAGCGGUGAAAUGCUUAGAGAUGACACAGAACACCGACGGCGAAGGCAGGUUACCAACCCAUUACUGACGCUGAGGCACGAAAGCGUGGGGAUCAAACAGGAUUAGAUACCCCAGUAGUCC
rnacentral:rRNA from 1 species